rnacentral:rRNA from 1 species
GGUUACCUACGGGACGCAGCAGUAGGGAAUUUUCGCCAAUGGGCGCAAGCCUGAACGAGCAAUGCCGCGUGAGUGAGGAAGGUCUUCGGAUCGUAAAGCUCUGUUGCGGGGGAAAAAGGAAGCAGAAAGGAAAUGGUCUGCUUUUGAUGGUACCCCGCCAGAAAGUCACGGCUAACUACGUGCCAGCAGCCGCGGUAAUACGUAGGUGGCGAGCGUUAUCCGGAAUGAUUGGGCGUAAAGGGUGAGCAGGCGGCGCGUCAAGUCUGAAGUAAAAGGUACAGGCUCAACCUGUGCAGGCU